AUCGCUUCUCAGCCUUUUGGCUAAGAUCAAGUGUAGUGUGUGUGUAGUGUCUUAAUAACAUGCAUUCAGUAAACCUAAAUUCAGAUUUGUAAUUUAAAAUUGGUCUUCAGUAAAGUGCCAAAAGCUUGCAUUUCUUCAUUAGCCUUUGUAGUAGUGUCAAAUACUGUAAUACAGUAUAUCUCUC